rnacentral:rRNA from 1 species
UACAGAGGUCUCAAGCGUUGUUCGGAUUCAUUGGGCGUAAAGGGUGCGUAGGCGGCGCGGUAAGUCGGGUGUGAAAUUUCGAGGCUUAACUUCGAAACUGCAUUCGAUACUGCCGUGCUUGAGGACUGGAGAGGAGACUGGAAUUUACGGUGUAGCGGUGAAAUGCGUAGAUAUCGAUAAGGAAGACCAGUGGCGAAGGCGGGUCUCUGGACAGAUACUGACACUGAGGCGCGAGAGCGUGGGGAGCAAACAGG